rnacentral:rRNA from 1 species
GUCCUUGCCGUAAACGAUGCACACUUGGUGUAACCGGACUCAACCCUGGUUGUGCCGUAGCUAACGCGUUAAGUGUGCCGCCUGAGGAGUACGCCCGCAAGGGUGAAACUCAAAAGAAUUGACGGGGACCCCGCACAAGCAGUGGAGCAUGUGGUUUAAUUCGAUGCAACGCGAAGAACCUUACCCAGUCUUGACAUGCAGUGGACCCCUCCAGAGAUGGAGGUUCCCUUCGGGGCCGCUGCACAGGUGCUGCAUGGCUGUCGU